rnacentral:rRNA from 1 species
UACGGGGGGGGCAAGCGUUGUUCGGAAUUACUGGGCGUAAAGGGCUCGUAGGUGGCCAACUAAGUCAGACGUGAAAUCCCUCGGCUUAACCGGGGAACUGCGUCUGAUACUGGAUGGCUGGAGUAUGGGAGAGGAAUGCGGAAUUCCAGGUGUAGCGGUGAAAUGCGUAGAUAUCUGGAGGAACACCGGUGGCGAAGGCGGCAUUCUGGACCAUUACUGACGCUGAGGAGCGAAAGCGUGGGGAGCGAACAGG